AUCUAUUCUUCCUUCCUUUCCUUACUUUUAUUACCUUCCUUUCUUUCAUUUCUGUCCCUUUUUUUCCUUCCUAUCUUUCCUUCCUAUCUUUACUUUCCCUUCUUUUCUUCCUUUUCUUUUCAUUUUAUUUUCCCAUUUUUCCCUUCCCCUUCCCUUCCCCUUCCCUUCCCUUCCCUUCCCUUCCCUUCCCUUCCUUCCCUUCCCUUCCCUUCCCUUCCCUUCCCUUCCCUUCCCUUCCCUUCCCUUCCUUCCCUUCCCUUCCCUUCCCUUCCCUUCCCUUCCCUUCCCGCACUUUGCUGCGGAUCUCCCACCCCACAGCCCCACUCCCGGCCGCCAUCCCCGGCUGCGUCGCAACGGCGGCAGCGCGCCCCCACUCCCCGCACGCGCCUGAAGCCGACCCCGCGGCGACAGCGCAUGCGCGGCGUCGUCUCCGGAGCAACGCGGCGUCGCCGCGGAGUGACGUCAUCACGCUGCGACCCGAGGAGGCGGCCGGGCGGCAGCGGGGCGGGGCGGCCCCGGGGCUCCGAGCGCCGCCUCAGCUUCUGCGACUCCCCUUGUCCCCCCUUGGAAUCGUGCUGAGGGAUCUGGAGACGUCCUAGAGAGGUCUGGGGGCAUCCAGGGGGUUCUGGACUCAUGCAGAAGUGUCUGGAGAUGUCCAAGGAGGAUCCAGGGAGUCCCCAGGUAGGUCCUGUGGGCCCCUGGAAGGGUCUGGCAGCUCCCACGAUGGGCCCAGGAGCUCUGAGGAGUCUCUGGGCUGAUCUGGAGAUGUCCCAGUAGAGUCUGCGAGGGUCCAGGGAGUCCUCGUGUGGGUCUGAGUGGUCAUCCAGAAGGGUCUGGGGAUGUCCCAGAAAGGACUGGGAGGGUCUGGGGGGUCCUUAGUUGGGUUCAGAGGAUCUGUU
rnacentral:lncRNA from 7 species